UACGAAGGGGGCUAGCGUUGUUCGGAAUUACUGGGCGUAAAGAGCUCGUAGGCGGGACCGUAAGUCCGAGAGGAAAUCUCAAGGCUCAACUUUGGGGCUUUCUUGGAUACUGCGGUUCUUGAGGAUGAGAGAGGUAAGUAGAAUUCCCGGUGUAGCGGUGAAAUGCGUAGAUAUCGGGAGGAAUACCAGUGGCGAAGGCGGCUUACUGGCUCAUUCCUGACGCUGAGGAGCGAAAGCGUGGGGAGCAAACGGG
rnacentral:rRNA from 1 species